GACGAACGCUGGCGGCGCGCCUAACACAUGCAAGUCGAACGAGAGAUGAAGAGCUUGCUCUUCAAAUCGAGUGGCGAACGGGUGAGUAACGCGUGAGGAACCUGCCUCAAAGAGGGGGACAACAGUUGGAAACGACUGCUAAUACCGCAUAAGCCCACGGCUCGGCAUCGAGCAGAGGGAAAAGGAGCAAUCCGCUUUGAGAUGGCCUCGCGUCCGAUUAGCUAGUUGGUGAGGUAACGGCCCACCAAGGCGACGAUCGGUAGCCGGACUGAGAGGUUGAACGGCCACAUUGGGACUGAGACACGGCCCAGACUCCUACGGGAGGCAGCAGUGGGGAAUAUUGCACAAUGGGGGAAACCCUGAUGCAGCGACGCCGCGUGGAGGAAGAAGGUCUUCGGAUUGUAAACUCCUGUUGUUGAGGAAGAUAAUGACGGUACUCAACAAGGAAGUGACGGCUAACUACGUACCAGCAGCCGCGGUAAAACGUAGGUCACAAGCGUUGUCCGGAAUUACUGGGUGUAAAGGGAGCGCAGGCGGGAGAACAAGUUGGAAGUGAAAUCCAUGGGCUCAACCCAUGAACUGCUUUCAAAACUGUUUUUCUUGAGUAGUGCAGAGGUAGGCGGAAUUCCCGGUGUAGCGGUGGAAUGCGUAGAUAUCGGGAGGAACACCAGUGGCGAAGGCGGCCUACUGGGCACCAACUGACGCUGAGGCUCGAAAGUGUGGGUAGCAAACAGGAUUAGAUACCCUGGUAGUCCACACCGUAAACGA
rnacentral:rRNA from 1 species